AAAAAUGCUGUGAAAAAGCGGCGUUUGCCCGCUAUAUAUGCAGAAAAGAGAGACCUGUCAUCGGCUGAAAGCAGGUUUGCAUAUGAGCAGACUGCCUUUCACUUUGGAGCUUUUGCCGUGAAACGAAGUAGCGGCAGACGCAUGGCUCGCGUUAUGAGCCGCAGAGUGCCCGCAUAUGCGGGAAUUCGGGUGGUACCGCGGAAUUUUAUCUCCGUCCCUUUU
rnacentral:ncRNA from 1 species